GAUGAACGCUGGCGGCGUGCCUAAUACAUGCAAGUCGAGCGAACGGACGAGAAGCUUGCUUCUCUGAUGUUAGCGGCGGACGGGUGAGUAACACGUGGAUAACCUACCUAUAAGACUGGGAUAACUUCGGGAAACCGGAGCUAAUACCGGAUGAUAUUUUGAACCGCAUGGUUCAAAAGUGAAAGACGGUCUUGCUGUCACUUAUAGAUGGAUCCGCGCUGCAUUAGCUAGUUGGUAAGGUAAUGGCUUACCAAGGCAACGAUGCAUAGCCGACCUGAGAGGGUGAUCGGCCACACUGGAACUGAGACACGGUCCAGACUCCUACGGGAGGCAGCAGUAGGGAAUCUUCCGCAAUGGGCGAAAGCCUGACGGAGCAACGCCGCGUGAGUGAUGAAGGUCUUCGGAUCGUAAAACUCUGUUAUUAGGGAAGAACAUAUGUGUAAGUAACUGUGCACAUCUUGACGGUACCUAAGCAGAAAGCCACGGCUAACUACGU
rnacentral:rRNA from 1 species